UACGGGGGAGCAGACGAGAGCAACUGGGGUCAAGCGAAGGAACGGCGCCUGCCCAGUUCUCUCCCGUGCACGUGAAACAUUAAGAAUGUUGCCUACUCGUGUCUUGCUUGCUGUGUAAUCACAUUGCCUUCAACGUUCCAGCGAAUAGGUUCAAGCUACAAACCUAUCAUCCUGUUUCUUUCUUCUUUUUAUUUUUUAAUUUUCCAUCCAGCCGAGAGACUUUGAGGUUUUUAUUUUUUAGAACUUAAUGACUGCAUUUCUUUUAAAGUCAGUGGUAGGUUGAAUGAGAUCAUUAGUAUAUUAAACCUUUACUGCUGAGUGUCUGUGAGCACUAACAAUAAUAAUAAUCAUCAUUAAUAUGUGCUGACAGCAGCUGCUGGACUCUGUGUGGUUGUUGUUUCCACUUCUUUUGCCUUUCAUCAAACUAAGAUCAGUGAAAGAGAUAUUUGUUUUUCAAACACACAAGCUUACAGCCAAUAAGAAGACGAAGACUGUGGUUUCUAUGGUGACACUGUUGUCACAGAUUUGUCUUGUAAAACAGGUUAACAAGGAAAUACAGGUGCAUUUCCUCGUUGGUGGCUGCUUGAUUCAGAGGUCUCUUUACUUUUAGAUUUUUAACUUGUUAAAUUUUAUAAAUUUUGUUUUUAUUUUUUUCAACCUUUUAGUUUUCUUUACCUUUUGCUUGUGGAGAAUCAUUUUUAAAGAAGUUCCUUUUGACCUAAUAAUGAACAACAGGGCACAUGGACCAAACACUUAAAAAAAAAAAAAUCUUUCAGUGGAUCAUUUUUCCAUCCUGAUGAUCAGAAGCGUGUUUGAGGGUUUCAGAGAUUUAUAACAACACAUCUCAAACAGUUGACGAGCAAAGUUGCCGUGAGCGUGAUGAUGCAGGUGUCUUAUAUGAAACAGCUGACAGGGAAAUACAGCAAAUCUUCAGUACGUUCUUCUCGACCUACUGAAAAAGCAGACUGGGACCUCACAUUUUCAUGGGACUUUUUUCCAUCUGGAUAAUUAGAAGAGUGAUGGUUUUAGAGAUUCUUCAGAACAACAGUAAGUGUUUAAAAUGAUAUUUUUGAGGCCUUUAGCUAUUUUGACAGGUUGACUGAAGCCUGUGAGCUUCAGUGGAUUCACAUAUUGUAGAUGUUAAUCCAGCUCACCCAGGGUUAAAGCUUCACUUUACUGGUUACAAAUGAAUGCCAUGUGGAGGUAUAAAUUGUGAAAUAGAGUGGAAAAUAGAAGCGUUAGUGAAAAAAGUUAACUUUGUGUAUUUUUGUUAUGACCCCCUCUGAUAGGCGACAGGAGGGGAGUAGCAUACACAAGCCCCCACACGAAAACUGAUUAAAAUAAAAGGUUUUAUUGCAAACUUUAAACAGAAAACCGACAGAAAACAGGGCUGUUCAACAGACCACUGGGCAACCCAUUAAUAGAUAAAGAAAAUAAGACAAGAGUAAAAGCUAAGGACUAACUAAGGCAAGCUAGCAUUACAAAACUCUAAUAAAACUAAGUUCAGCUGUAUACCAGGUUUAACAAACAAAGUGCAACACUGUGAACAGGUUUAGCAAACAAAGUUCAAAAGAGAGGAAGACAAGGGAGACAUUGCAUGUUCACUUCUGAGCAGCAGUCCCCAUAGUGUGAAGGCUCUUCAGCCUUUGAUACCCACAGCAGUACAAUACAAUCAGCCAGUCAUUCCCUCUUGGAGUGUCAUGGGAUCCCCAGGCAGCCAAUCGUCUGCGUGGGCUGGCACACUUUAAUCUGCAUAACAGAAGGCUGGAACAGGUCUCCCAGUAACCAAUCACCCACGAGUCCUAGUACACUUGAAUUUGAAUAAAUGUAAAAAGGCAUUCACACUUUGAAGGAUCAGGGCCGUAACAAUUUUACUUCACAUAUUUGUAAUUUG
rnacentral:lncRNA from 1 species